rnacentral:rRNA from 1 species
AUUGAACGCUGGCGGCAUGCCUUACACAUGCAAGUCGAACGGCAGCACGGGUGCUUGCACCUGGUGGCGAGUGGCGAACGGGUGAGUAAUACAUCGGAACAUGUCCUGUAUUGGGGGAUAGCCCGUCGAAAGCCGGAUUAAUACCGCAUACGAACUACGGAUGAAAGCGGGGGCCCUUCGGGCCUCGCGCUAUAGGGUUGGCCGAUGGCUGAUUAGCUAGUUGGUGGGGUAAAGGCCUACCAAGGCGACGGUCAGUAGCUGGUCUGAGAGGACGACCAGCCACACUGGGACUGAGACACGGCCCAGACUCCUACGGGAGGCAGCAGUGGGGAAUUUUGGACAAUGGGCGAAAGCCUGAUCCAGCAAUGCCGCGUGUGUGAAGAAGGCCUUCGGGUUGUAAAGCACUUUUGUCCGGAAAGAAAUACUUGGCCCUAAUACGGUCGGGGGAUGACGGUACCGGAAGAAUAAGCACCGGCUAACUACGUG